GGCCUGGAUGGGGCGCUCGAAUGGGGGGCCGGGGGGCCGCGUCCAAGCCGGCGUCGGGGCCGGGGGUCCAGCCUCGCGGUUGCGCGUGGCCGCUUGGAGACGGCGGCCGGGAGAGGGGCGCUAACUAUUCUUAGUAACAAAUUACUCACAGCCGCAGCAGCUGGUCCGCGCCCACCGCGCUCUGCUGGGCCCCACAAACGUGAUGGCAGCGACAACCCUGUUAGGUAGGCGCUAUUGUUACCCCAUCGUUCAGACGAGGAGACUGAGGCGCGCAGAGGCAAAGUCAUCUGCCCAAGGUCACACAGUUGGGUCUUGCUGGAGACCAUCCACCACUGUGUGUAAAGCCCACCUAGCCCCGAACUUCUUAUGCGGCCAUCUCCCCCGAAGUUGCCUUCUGUUCACUUGUUGACUGUCUGCUCACCUGUUGACUGUGUCUGUCUCCCCCCUUUAGAAUGUGAGCCCUAGGAGGGCAGGGUACUGUGUGUUCCCUUGUGUAUGCCCGGCUCCUGGCACUUUGCAGAUGCUCAAUAAAUACUUGCUGAAUGAAUGAA